rnacentral:rRNA from 1 species
GACGAACGCUGGCGGCGUGCUUAACACAUGCAAGUCGAACGGAAAGGCCCUGCUUUUGUGGGGUGCUCGAGUGGCGAACGGGUGAGUAACACGUGAGUAACCUGCCCUUGACUUUGGGAUAACUUCAGGAAACUGGGGCUAAUACCGGAUAGGAGCUCCUGCUGCAUGGUGGGGGUUGGAAAGUUUCGGCGGUUGGGGAUGGACUCGCGGCUUAUCAGCUUGUUGGUGGGGUAGUGGCUUACCAAGGCUUUGACGGGUAGCCGGCCUGAGAGGGUGACCGGCAACAUGGGGACUGGGAUACGGCCCAGACUCCUACGGGAGGAAGCAGUGGGGAAUAUUACACAAUGGGCGGAAGCCGAAGGCAGCAACGCCGCGGGCGGGAGAACGGCCUUCGGGUUGAAACCGCUUUCGCCUGUGACGAAGCGUGAGUGACGGUAAUGGGUAAAGAAGCACCGGCUAACUACGUG